GGUCCGGGCCCGGCGGUCCAUCGUUUCGGUGUGCACUGCUUGGGCUUGGCCUUCACCUCCCGUGUUUGUGCGUGCGUCGGUUCGCAUGUGUGCAUGCACAUGAUGAGCACGGCGUUACGGGCCUCGGGUCGUUUACCUUGAAAAAAUUAGAGUGUUCAAAGCAGGCCUGCGCCUGAAUAGAUUAGCAUGGAAUAAUAGAAUAGGACUACGGUCUUAUUUUGUUGGUUCUAAGACCGCAGUA
rnacentral:rRNA from 1 species